rnacentral:rRNA from 1 species
AACGAACGCUGGCGGCAGGCUUAACACAUGCAAGUCGAACGCCCCGCAAGGGGAGUGGAAGACGGGUGAGUAACGCGUGGGAAUAUCCCCCCCUGUACGGAAUAGUCCAGGGAAACUUGUAGUAAUUCCGUCUACGUCCGUAAGGAGAAAGAGUUAUCGAUGAGGGAUUAGCCAGCGUAGGAUUAGCUAGGUGGUGAGGUAACGGCUCACCAAGGGGAGGAUCCUUAGCUGGUCUGAGAGGACAAUCAGCCACACUGGGACUGAGACACGGACCAGACACCUACGGGAGGCAGCAGUGGUGAAUAUUGGACAAUGGGCGCAAGCCUGAUCCAGCCAUGCUGCGUGAGUGACGAAGGCCUUAGGGUUGUAAAGCUCUUUUGGCGGGGACGAUAAUGACGGUACCCGCAGAAUAAGCCCCGGCUAACUUCGUGCCAGCCGCCGCAGUAAUAC